rnacentral:lncRNA from 1 species
GGAUGGUGCUGGUGCGCACGGACGCCGGGCAGCUCGUGAUGGUGCCCCAGCAGGCUCUGGCACAGGCUCAGAUGCAGGCCCAGGUGCAGACACAGGGACAGGGUCCUGCCAACAUGUCACCCAGGCUUUCUGUGCCCACAGCUGGCCCCGUUUUUCGCCUGUCCACAGCUCAGCAGCCAACGUCCGUGGCCACCUCCAGCGUCCGCCUGGGCCUCCCGGUGCAAGCCAAGGUGGUGCCAUCCACGGCGGCGCCCGCCAGCGCCACAGCCACGCUGCCAGGAGGGGCUGUGCUCUCACACACCACGGUCAGGGGCUGGGCACGCUGCCUGGGCUUGGGCUGGGGCAGGGGAGGGAGAUUCAGGGUGGGUGCAUGGAGGAACUGUGCAUGGGCAGGCCCUGGCACAGUGCUCAGAGCAGCUGUGGCUGCCCCUGGAUCCCUGGCAGUGCCCAAGGCCAGGCUGGGAUGGGCUUGGAGCAGCCUGGGACAGUGGAACUGGAUGAGCUUGAAGUUCCUUUCCAACCCAAACCAUUGUAUGACUUUAUGA